GGCCUAACACAUGCAAGUCGAGCGGAUGAAGAGAGCUUGCUCUCUGAUUCAGCGGCGGACGGGUGAGUAAUGCCUAGGAAUCUGCCUGGUAGUGGGGGACAACGUUUCGAAAGGAACGCUAAUACCGCAUACGUCCUACGGGAGAAAGUGGGGGAUCUUCGGACCUCACGCUAUCAGAUGAGCCUAGGUCGGAUUAGCUAGUUGGUGAGGUAACGGCUCACCAAGGCGACGAUCCGUAACUGGUCUGAGAGGAUGAUCAGUCACACUGGAACUGAGACACGGUCCAGACUCCUACGGGAGGCAGCAGUGGGGAAUAUUGGACAAUGGGCGAAAGCCUGAUCCAGCCAUGCCGCGUGUGUGAAGAAGGCCCUCGGGUCGUAAAGCACUUUAAGCUGGGAGGAAGGGUUGUAACCUAAUACGUUGCAGCUUUGACGUUACCAGCAGAAUAAGCACCGGCUAACUCUGUGCCAGCAGCCGCGGUUAUACAGAGGGUGCAAGCGUUAAUCGGAAUUACUGGGCGUAAAGCGCGCGUAGGUGGCUUGGUAAGUUGAACGUGAAAUCCCCGGGCUCAACCUGGGAACUGCAUCCAAAACUGCCUGGCUAGAGUACGGUAGAGGGUGGUGGAAUUUCCUGUGUAGCGGUGAAAUGCGUAGAUAUAGGAAGGAACACCAGUGGCGAAGGCGACCACCUGGACUGAUA
rnacentral:rRNA from 1 species